CGAACUCGCUACGAUCAGAAUUCGAAAAAAAAAAUAAAUGUAAUUAUUUGCUUGAAAGCCGUAGUUAGAAAAAAUUCCAAUCAAUCAUAGUGUUGAAAUAUAAAUCGUGAUUUGCCUUUAAAAAUGUGUAAAAAAAAGAAUCGUAUUUAUUCAAAUAUCGUGGAAAAGUACACGUCUAUCGUGAUUAAUGGUUUGUCUGUCGCAAAUCGAAAUCUGCGUGACAAAAUUAUUAUUGAUCCAGAUACUACACGGAGUACUCGCAUCAUAAUAUCAACGUGUACUUAACGGCGAACAUUAUAUUUUGACUUUGACAUUUACAAGCACCCGCGGAGAUUACACGGACAAAAAUCAUUCGAAUCGGCUUUGCCUUCAGUCUACAGGUAUUCAAAAUAGCCGAUUGUUUUGGUAAUAUAAAUUUUCGACUAACGAGUAUUGAAAUGAAUUUUAAUUGCUUACUCGUUUGUCUAUGCUUCAUUUUACUGUCUAUAUUUCCAAAAAAUGUAAAUUCAGAAUGGGUUGUCCAAAGGGGUCCUCUCACUUGUGGAAAAGAUGCGAAAUUAUGUUUACAGCCUUCGGGUUGUUUUUGUUGUAAACCAAUGUGUUAUCCACUACCUCCAGUACCAUCAGCAUGUCCAACUGGCACAGAAUACUGCGUUGACAAUAAUCAAAAAUGUGCGUGUUGCAAAUCGAAUUGUAAAGAAUAAACGAAAUGGCAAACGGAUGGUAAACGUAUAAUAGUCCAAUAAUAAAUUAAUUCCGUGAAAAUAAAAAAAACCGCUCGGCCAACUGUUUGUCCGAAAUCCAAGAAUUUUUAGUGGAUUUACGUAAAUACAUUUUAAAUCUUCCCAAAAUCGAUUAGAACAUAAAUAAGAUGUUUUUUUUUUUUUUUUUUUCAUUGUUAAUUUCAUUUUUUUUCGCUUCAAUUUGAGAAAUUACACCUUUGACGUUUCGUUUAGCACAAAUGCAAUAAAUAAAUAAUAUAUAAUGUAUUGUUAUGUAUGUUUAUAAUAAUAAUAAACAUAUUAUGUCUUUUUUGUUUGCUCCAGUAAUAAUUUUUUUCCAAUUUAGAUUACUUAAGCAACCAAUAAUUGUUCAUAUUUUAUUAAAUUUACUCGCCGAAAAAUGUGUUGCACUCCCAAGCCAAUGUUUUUUGCAUUUAGUAAACAAGACAUGUAAGCACUUUAAAUAAUAAAUUGUUUUCACUAAUAUUGUUACACAUAUAUACCUAUGGACCUUUCCCAGAUAGCAUAUCCGUAAUGACAAUAUUAUAUUAAUAUCAAUUUUUCGUAAAAAAAAAA